GGCAGGCAGCUGAUGAAAAUUCUUAUAAUGGGUAAUUUGCGGCUGAAAUCUGUGAUGCCAACACCUUGGAGACCUGAUGCCCUGUU